rnacentral:tRNA from 1 species
CGCCGACCGUGGGCGAGCGGAGCGUCGCGGCGUUGCGCGCCGUCGGGGGCACGCGUGCCGUGCCGGGUUCGUCCACUGUGGUCGGUGG